GACGAACGCUGGCGGCGUGCUUAACACAUGCAAGUCGAACGGAAAGGCCCUGCUUGCAGGGUACUCGAGUGGCGAACGGGUGAGUAACACGUGGGUGAUCUGCCCUGCACUUCGGGAUAAGCCUGGGAAACUGGGUCUAAUACCGGGUAGGAGCCAUUUUUAGUGUGAUGGUUGGAAAGUUUUUUCGGUGUAGGAUGAGCUCGCGGCCUAUCAGCUUGUUGGUGGGGUAAUGGCCUACCAAGGCGGCGACGGGUAGCCGGCCUGGGAGGGUGGACGGCCACAUUGGGGCUGGGAUACGGCCCAGACUCCUACGGGGGGCAGCAGGGGGGAAUAUUGGACAAUGGGCGCAAGCCUGAUGCAGGGACGCCGCGUGGGGGAUGACGGCCUUCGGGUUGUAAACUCCUUUCGCUAGGGACGAAGCUUUUUGUGACGGUACCUAGAUAAGAAGCACCGGCUAACUACGUG
rnacentral:rRNA from 1 species